AGUGAACGCUGGCGGUAGGCCUAACACAUGCAAGUCGAACGGCAGCACAGUAAGAGCUUGCUCUUACGGGUGGCGAGUGGCGGACGGGUGAGGAAUACAUCGGAAUCUACUUUUACGUGGGGGAUAACGUAGGGAAACUUACGCUAAUACCGCACACGACCUACGGGUGAAAGCAUGGGAUCUUCGGACCUUGACCGAUUGAAUGCGCCGAUGUCGGAUUAGCUAGUUGGCGGGGUAAAGGCCCACCAAGGCGACGAUCCGUAGCUGGUCUGAGAGCAUGAUCAGCCACACUGGAACUGAGACACGGUCCAGACUCCUACGGGAGGCAGCAGUGGGGAAUAUUGGACAAUGGGCGCAAGCCUGAUCCAGCCAUACCGCGUGGGUGAAGAAGGCCUUCGGGUUGUAAAGCCCUUUUGUUGGGAAAGAAAAGCAGCAGGUUAAUACCCCGCUGUUCUGACGGUACCCAAAGAAUAAGCACCGGCUAACUUCGUG
rnacentral:rRNA from 1 species